UGCGUAGGCGGAAAAUUAAGUCAGUGGUGAAAUCCUGCAGCUCAACUGUAGAACUGUCAUUGAUACUGAUUUUCUUGAAUGUAGUUGAGGUAGGCGGAAUGUGUAAUGUAGCGGUGAAAUGCUUAGAUAUUACACAGAACACCGAUUGCGAAGGCAGCUUACUAAACUAUGAUUGACGCUGAGGCACGAAAGCGUGGGGAGCGAACAGGAUUAGAUACCCUGGUAGUCC
rnacentral:rRNA from 1 species